rnacentral:rRNA from 1 species
UACGUAGGAUGCAAGCGUUGUCCGGAUUUACUGGGCGUAAAGCGUGCGCAGGCGGUUUUGUAAGUCUGUCGUGAAAGCCCCGGGCUCAACCUGGGAAUUGCGAUGGAGACUGCAAGGCUUGAAUCUGGCAGAGGGGGGUAGAAUUCCACGUGUAGCAGUGAAAUGCGUAGAGAUGUGGAGGAACACCGAUGGCGAAGGCAGCCCCCUGGGUCAAGAUUGACGCUCAUGCACGAAAGCGUGGGGAGCAAACAGG